rnacentral:misc_RNA from 1 species
CAAAAUUCUAAUCUUCAGGAUAGGAAUCCUGCAUCCAUUUUGCGUGAAAUCUGAAUAUCCUAUAUGAUAUAUGGAAUGCCAAUUCUAAAAUUUUUGUGUCGGCCUUUGCUUAGCCAUUUAUUACUGGAAACUCCAGUUGACCUUAUUCUGUACCCUGAUUCUAUCCAUGCCUUUAUCUUUUUCUGGACCGAUAAUUAAUUUUUGUCUGUAAUACCAUAGCUGAUUCUCUUUUACUGUGCAGAAUGUGUAGGG